rnacentral:piRNA from 1 species
UGGAUAGAAUAUGGAAGAGGGAAAA